UACGUAGGGCGCAAGCGUUAUCCGGAAUUAUUGGGCGUAAAGAGCUCGUAGGCGGUUUGUCGCGUCUGCCGUGAAAGUCCGAGGCUCAACCUCGGAUCUGCGGUGGGUACGGGCAGACUAGAGUGAUGUAGGGGAGACUGGAAUUCCUGGUGUAGCGGUGAAAUGCGCAGAUAUCAGGAGGAACACCGAUGGCGAAGGCAGGUCUCUGGGCCUGUACUGACGCUGAGGAGCGAAAGCGUGGGGAGCGAACAGGAUAGAA
rnacentral:rRNA from 1 species